GACGAACGCUGGCGGCGUGCUUAACACAUGCAAGUCGAACGGAAAGGCCCUGCUUUUGUGGUGUGCUCGAGUGGCGAACGGGUGAGUAACACGUGAGUAACCUGCCCUUGACUUUGGGAUAACUUCAGGAAACUGGGGCUAAUACCGGAUAGGAGCUCCUGCUGCAUGGUGGGGGAUGGAAAGUUUCGGCGGUUGGGGAUGGACUCGCGGGUUAUCAGCUGGUUGGUGGGGUAGGUGCUUACAAAGGGUUUGACGGGUAGCCGGCCUGGGAGGGUGACCGGCGACAUUGGGACUGCGAGAGGGCGCAGAAUCCUACGGGAGGCAGCAGUGGGGAAUAUUGCGCAAUGAGGGGAAGCCUGAGGCAGCAACGCCGCGUGCGGGAUGACGGCCUUCGGGUUGUAAACCGCUUUCGCCUGUGACGAAGCGUGAGUGACGGUAAUGGGUAAAGAAGCACCGGCUAACUACGUG
rnacentral:rRNA from 1 species